rnacentral:rRNA from 1 species
CAGUCGUACUUAUGGGUAAUCAGCCUUUUGGGUGUGAUUUUGUGGAGUGUGAGGAGUUAAACGCCUUCAUGCCUGCAUAUUCGUAUACUUUGGGUGUACUUAUUCGUGUGGUAAGUUAACAUCAAUUUUGGUGAUCAAUAAAAUGACUAGAGGAAUGUAGCUUCGAUCUCGUAUUGAAGUGUUAUAGUCCUUUGGUAGAUGUGAUGAUCGGGGAUUGGAGGUAUUGACAACGGAUACCCUUCGGGGCUACCUGUCUGGUCUCUGAUCGUUG